GACCUCUCCCUAAUCGGAGAUUUCCCUUCGGGGACAGUGUGACAGGUGGUGCAUGGUGUCGUCAGCUCGUGUCGUGAGAUGUUGGGUUAAGUCCCGCAACGAGCGCAACCCUUGCCUUUAGUUGCCCAGCAUUAAGUUGGGCACUCUAGAGGGACUGCCGAGGAUAACUCGGAGGAAGGUGGGGAUGACGUCAAAUCAUCAUGCCCUUUAUGCUUAGGGCUACACACGUGCUACAAUGGGUGGUACAGAGGGUUGCCAAGCCGCGAGGUGGAGCUAAUCCCUUAAAGCCAUUCUCAGUUCGGAUUGUAGGCUGAAACUCGCCUACAUGAAGCUGGAGUUACUAGUAAUCGCAGAUCAGAAUGCUGCGGUGAAUGCGUUCCCGGGUCUUGUACACACCGCCCGUCACACCAUGGAAGUUGGGGGCGCCCGAAGCCGGUUAGCUAACCUUUUAGGAAGCGGCCGUCGAAGGUGAAACCAAUGACUGGGGUGAAGUCGUAACAAGGUAACCUA
rnacentral:rRNA from 1 species